GACAGAGGUGCCGAGCGUUAGGCGGAAUCACUGGGCUUAAAGCGUGUGUAGGCGGAUUUUUAAGUACCUUGUGAAAUCCCAUGGCUUAACCAUGGAACUGCUGGGUAUACUGGAUAUCUUGAGCCAACUAGGGGCUACCGGAACAAAUGGUGGAGCGGUGAAAUGCGUAGAUAUCAUUUGGAACGCCAAUGGUGAAAACAGGUAGCUGGGGUUGUGCUGACGCUGAGACACGAAAGCUAGGGGAGCGAAUGGG
rnacentral:rRNA from 1 species